rnacentral:rRNA from 1 species
GACGAACGCUGGCGGCGUGCCUAAUACAUGCAAGUCGAGCGAACUUGCGGGAGCUUGCUCCCAAAAGUUAGCGGCGGACGGGUGAGUAACACGUGGGCAACCUGCCUGUAAGACUGGGAUAACUUCGGGAAACCGGAGCUAAUACCGGAUAAUUCUUAUCAACACAUGUUGGUAAGCUAAAAGACGGCGCAAGCUGUCACUUACAGAUGGGCCCGCGGCGCAUUAGCUAGUUGGUGAGGUAACGGCUCACCAAGGCAACGAUGCGUAGCCGACCUGAGAGGGUGAUCGGCCACACUGGGACUGAGACACGGCCCAGACUCCUACGGGAGGCAGCAGUAGGGAAUCUUCCGCAAUGGACGAAAGUCUGACGGAGCAACGCCGCGUGAGUGAUGAAGGUUUUCGGAUCGUAAAACUCUGUUGUUAGGGAAGAACAAGUACGAGAGUAACUGCUCGUACCUUGACGGUACCUAACCAGAAAGCCACGGCUAACUACGUG